rnacentral:rRNA from 1 species
UACGUAGGGUGCAAGCGUUGUCCGGAAUUAUUGGGCGUAAAGAGCUCGUAGGCGGUUUGUCGCGUCGGCUGUGAAAACUCGGGGCUCAACCCCGGGCCUGCAGUCGAUACGGGCAGACUAGAGUGCGGUAGGGGAGACUGGAAUUCCUGGUGUAGCGGUGAAAUGCGCAGAUAUCAGGAGGAACACCGGUGGCGAAGGCGGGUCUCUGGGCCGUAACUGACGCUGAGGAGCGAAAGCGUGGGGAGCGAACAGG